ensembl:lncRNA
GAGGCGCGAAUUCCGACAGUGAGAGGAACAGCCGGAUACAGGAGACGGGAAGAAACAAGCCGAUUAUGUUCGCGUUAAUUAGGUGGUUGGAAGAUGUAAAAUUCUCAAUUCUGCCAACUGAACAUAUACGAGAUUUUAAUGAGUAUGAAUAAUUAGCCGGCAUGGAGGAAACGGACCUUUAUUUGGUGGAGUGGCGACAAGAAGCCAAAAGGCGGGUGGCCGGUCUAUGAAGCCUCCAUCAUCAAGCUAGCAGAAAUCCCACCUGUCCUUCUGGCUACAGAGUACUUACUUACCAAGCCCAUGAAAUCGAAUGCAGAUCUUCAUGAUGUGAGAUUUACAUAAAUAUGUCAAAGUCUCAACCUCAUGCUGCCCUCCCCAUCCUCCUAAAGUAAGUAUUUGUUGUUGUAGUUUUUAUGCAGUGUCUGUGUCACAUGCUAAUCAUAAUUAUUGAAAUAACUGUUUUCUAACAGAUUUUCCAAAACACUAGUUAUGUUUGUUGUCAUUCAGACUAAUACUACCGCUUAGACAUUGCUUAGUGGUCAUGCAUGUUUGACAAGCUUGUUAUGAUACCAAAACAGUAGGCCUGUCACAAUAACCGAUAUAUCGACUUAACACACAAUACAUGUACAUGACCUCAAUAAUUGUUAAUGAUGCAAUUUAUCUGCCAUUAUAUUUACAAAAAUAAAAUAUAAUAAUAACAACACAAUAACAUUAAAUAACAUUGUUU